rnacentral:rRNA from 1 species
UACAGAGGCCUCGAGCGUUAGGCGGAAUCACUGGGCUUAAAGCGCGUGUAGGCGGACCGUUAAGUGCCUUGUGAAAUCCCACGGCUCAACCGUGGAACUGCUCGGUAUACUGGCGAUCUUGGGCCACUUAGGGGCUAGCGGAACAAACGGUGGAGCGGUGAAAUGCGUAGAUAUCAGGAGGAACACCGAUGGCGAAGGCGGUGGUCUGGGCCGGCACUGACGCUGAGGAGCGAAAGCGUGGGGAGCGAACAGG